AGUGAACGCUGGCGGUAGGCCUAACACAUGCAAGUCGAACGGCAGCACAGUAAGAGCUUGCUCUUACGGGUGGCGAGUGGCGGACGAGUGAGGAAUACAUCGGAAUCUACUUUUUCGUGGGGGAUAACGUAGGGAAACUUACGCUAAUACCGCAUACGACCUACGGGGGAAAGCAGGGGAUCUUCGGACCUUGCGCGAUUGAAUGAGCCGAUGUCGGAUUAGCUAGUUGGCGGGGUAAAGGCCCACCAAGGCGACGAUCCGUAGCUGGUCUGAGAGGAUGAUCAGCCACACUGGAACUGAGACACGGUCCAGACUCCUACGGGAGGCAGCAGUGGGGAAUAUUGGACAAUGGGCGCAAGCCUGAUCCAGCCAUACCGCGUGGGUGAAGAAGGCCUUCGGGUUGUAAAGCCCUUUUGUUGGGAAAGAAAAGCAGCAGGUUAAUACCCCGCUGUUCUGACGGUACCCAAAGAAUAAGCACCGGCUAACUUCGUG
rnacentral:rRNA from 1 species